rnacentral:lncRNA from 1 species
GCUACACUUGACCAUGGCGGCAAUAAAGAUGACUUUGAAGAAUGGCAUGGGAUGGAUCCUUUUGAAUGCACUCAAGCAGGGGUCUCCAACCACAGGGCCACAGAACCGGAGCUGAAUCUACCAUGAAAGACUUCAGAAUCCAGGAAGAGAGACUGACUGGGCAACAUCUUAUUCAGGAGAUGGGGUCUCACCCUGUCACCCAGGCUGAAAUACAGUGGUGUAAUCACAGCUCACUGCAGCCUUGAACUCCUGGGCUAAGGAUCCUCCUUCCUCAGCCUCCUGAGUAGCUGGGACUUGUAGGGUCUUGCUCUAUUGUCCAGGCUGGAGUGUAGUGACGCCAUCACAGCUGACUGCAGCCUCAACCUCCCAGGCUCAAGCGAUCCUCCCACCUCAGCCUCCUAAGUGACUGAGACUAUAGGUGCUUGCUACUAUGCCCAACUAAUAUUUGGACUUUUCCUAUAUGUGGGUUCCAGAGGGCUGACUGUGAAAC